AGAAGGAGACAUUUUCCUUCAGAAGAUGUGACUUCUUUUGGAAAUGAUUUAUGAAGUAUGGAGGAAGUCUACCUGUCCUAGACUGAAUUACUCAAUGGAAGCCAACUGUGGAACUGGGAUAUGUUCAGGGAUAGACUGUAAGCAGAAAAAAAGUCUUUUCUUGCUGCCUGAACUUCAACAGAGAAUAACACCAAAUUUGAGUGAAAUGAUGUGC